rnacentral:RNase_P_RNA from 1 species
GACAAACGCUGUAUGAAGAAUAUAGAGGAAAGUCCAUGCUCACAAAAUCUGCGAUGAUUUUAGUGUUUGUGCUAGGGGAAAAAAUAACCCUAGGUAGCUUCGGCUAACGGCAACGAAAUGACCUAAGUUCUUAUGAAUAUGGUUAAAGUAGUUAUAAAAGUGCUAUAGUGAUGAAGAAUCUGGAAACGGAGGAAGUGGAACAGAGUAAACCCCGCAAGUGAGAAACCCAAAUUUUGGUAGGGGAGUUCUAAAGAGGGAAUUGAACUGAUUUAGGAAUCGUAAGAUAGAUAGAUGUUUGUCACCCAAGUGGUACAGAACAUGGCUUAUAA